UACAGAGGUCUCAAGCGUUGUUCGGAUUCAUUGGGCGUAAAGCGCGUGUAGGCGGCUCGAUAAGUCUGCUGUGAAAGUCCAGGGCUCAACCCUGGGAUGCCGGUGGAUACUGUCGAGCUCGAGUCCGGAAGAGGCGAGUGGAAUUCCUGGUGUAGCGGUGAAAUGCGCAGAUAUCAGGAGGAACACCAAUGGCGAAGGCAGCUCGCUGGGACGUGACUGACGCUGAGACGCGAAAGCGUGGGGAGCAAACAGG
rnacentral:rRNA from 1 species